CUAAGCAUGCCAUAUAUUACAUCAAAAGCUAGUGAGGAUACAUCUGUUUCCAUAACUCGGAGAGGGUUCACAUGAUUCAUCGCAUGAUUCACUAUCAAACAAAAGUAGCAAGAUCCGCCCACACAAGACAGUGCACUAGCCCUAAGAUGGUUUGAUAACAUGCAUCAUUUCUGGUAAUUAAACACAGGGCAAUGCAAACUACCCUGAAGGAUUAGCGCGACCAACUAUUUCUUAUCAUCGAUCUCUCGGGCAAUGACCACAACACGGACAACAGCAUGGGAAUCGAUUUUUGGGGCGAUGUCCACAGGACUGACCGCGACAUCGGAAUCGAUCUCUGGGGCGAUGUCCACAGGAUGGACAGCGGUAUCGGAAUCGAUCUCUGGGGCGAUGCCAACAGGACAGGCCACAACAUCGGAAUCAUCAAGGACAACCACCGGCACCUGCACAACACUAACAUAUUAGCAAGCACAUUGCAAAUAAUCAAAAAGCAAGCACAUUGCAAAUAAUCAAAAACCACAACUAUGGUAAUAAUCCAUUAUUUUUUACCUUGUGCAGCUCACCGGGG
rnacentral:lncRNA from 1 species